rnacentral:lncRNA from 1 species
UCCAGUAGAGGAGAGUACACGGUGGUCUCUUGGUUCAAAAUGAGAUGCAUUAAUUGAUUGGAGAUGGGGAACAGCACAUGGAACGGCUAGGGAUGUCCAGGGGAGGGCAAUUUGAUUUCAUCAAAUAUUUCUUUUACUUUUUUUAGCAUUUAGUUUCUUUGCUUGAAGAAGGUGAUGACACGGCAAGGAGAGAAACAAGUUUUCUAGGUGCCAAAUUUUCUUAAAUUUAUGCCACAUAUAGUUGUCACGUUUCUUUCUUUUUAUUCCACAAGUUUUCUUUUUUUUUUUCUUGUCUUUGAAAGGAGUAGCUGCACAGAUAGAAAGAAGCGUUGCUGCAAUUUUAUUUGGAGAAAACCAUUUUAACUUCUUUGCUUUUGGUAAAAAUUUUAAUUCUCGCUGCAUGUGAUUUUCCUUAUUAGCCUAAUGUUGCAUCUAGUACCACCAGAUACAUUGUCUUAUUUAUUUCUUUCCUUCAAGUUAUUCACACACUUUGGCAUUUAGUUUCAUGCAUACUGCACGGUCCUUAUAAUGCUUUGCAUUCCAAUCCAGUAUUUUCAUUUAUUUUCAGUGUUUUCAAUUAUGUUUGGUUGUGAUUAAUUUCCAGUUUUAAUUUAAUUUAAUUCUCCUUGCAAAAACACUCUCAAUCCCCCCUACUUUGUGUUAGACCUAAGAUCGAACCACAGUUUGGUCCUUGAGAGACGACCUAGGGGUCAUUCCCUAGCACUAUACUGCAUUUCUAAAUUGCAAUCAAAUUUGCAUGGGUCGUGGUUUGUAGCUUCUUAUCCAUAUUUAUCCUCCCUUUUCCUUGGCCCCAUUACAUCCAUAAAAGACCUUU